AACCUUGAAGAGUUAACAGCAAAAUUCUGAUGCUAAGAUCUCUAUUUUUAUUACAAUCAAAAAUUAUAUGGGGGUGGUGGGUGGGCAUGGGAGAAGGGGAGUGAUACUCAGAAUCAACACCUAAGAUUGUUUGUUUUCUGCAGAUUUCUAAUUUUUUUAAUUCCUGUUUAGUGAUCGUCAAUCCACAGCUCUUAACAACUCAAAACAUGAUGUGUGCUAGUGCCAAAGUCUGCAGGCUGCUUUGUUUUCUAAUCUCACGUACCUGUCAUUUCACACACUUAAAUCCCCACGGAAAGAGGAUAGGCUGGGUUGCUCAGCCCAACCUGCAGCUGUCAGAGUUCAAGUGGAUUAGAGUUGUAUACUGUUCCUUAACAAGAAAGUAGCUUUUUUCAUUAUCCAGUUCCAUGCUGCGCAGAGGAGACUGAAGAAACACAAGCGACUUCUUAUAUAAUUGAGGAAUGAAGGGGGAAAUAGGAGGAUGUAUAUUUUGACUUGUAAAAAAAAACUUAAAAAUUGCAUGAGACAAUUUUUGAUAAUCAUUUGCACUCUCUCCCAUCUGUGAUUCCUUUGUGUGUGAAUUUUUAAAGUAACCAAGAGAGCUGGUUUCCCUGUUCAGAAAUCUUGAAAAUGCCCCCAAUACUAUUAAAGUGUGUGUGAGUGUGUGAGUGUGUGUGUGUGUGUGUGUGUGUGUGUGUGAGAGAGAGAGAGAGAGAGAGAGAGAGAGAGAGAGAGAGAGAGAGAGAGAGAGAUUCCAGCUUGUUUUGUCCUUACUAUUAAAGUUUGGGCAGGAGCAGCUAGGAAGAUUACACAUUAGAAAUGUAGAAAAGCCGAGAAAGCCUGAAAACAAACCUAUUUUCUUUAUAACUUAUAUAGAACCAAACCUCAGGCUUAUUAAACAACCAGGAAACUGGCAAGCCUUCUAGCCUUGGAAACAUUAGUGACCUGCCACUUCAGUGACUAGAACAUUGGAAAUAAUUUAAGCGUAUCUCUUUUUCUAAGUUUCAAUAACACUUAGUUAUUUUGGAUUCACUUUAGGGGGUACAUAAUACAGUAAAAUCACAUCCUAGAAGAUGAAAAAAAUGCACUUUCUUAAUAAAAAGAAGCAGUCCUGAAGGGUUAACUGUAAGAACAAAUGUGUAUGUGGAAUGUUUAAUAUGCCAAAGAAGAUUCACAGUCCUUGCUUCAGAGGCUGUCUGCACUGGAGACCUUUUGUCUGCAGAAGGAAGUUGUCUUUAUAAAAUGGAUCCACUCCCUGUGUGAAGCUGCCCAGUCCAGAUCAUCACACAAUAGAUGUAGUGAGCUGAAUUAUACUGCUUGCCUACUGUGCAGACCUUCACAUUGGGUAAUGACUCUUGAAAAGAUGCUAUUCAAAAGUUCACAUGUACUGUAGGUAAAAAAGGGAAUUUCAACCAACAUUAUACCUGACACUGGAGUAGGAUGAAAUCUUAGGCAUUAGAUAAUCCUAUAGACUGGGAUCUAUAGUUUAUUCUGUUGGAUCCCUAGCUUCUUUGUUUGUGCUUUGUGACAUUUCUCCUAUGGAGGAAUGCACAUAGAGCAUGCAUUUGUUUUUUAUAUUGUUAAUAUGUUGGUCUUCUGUUUGUGUAGCUGCGUUUUCUUGGGGCCUAAGAGGCAAUUAAGUCAACUUCUAAGAGCCUUAGUGGAAAAUUAAUGGAAACAAAUAGCCACUUGCAAAAUGAUUUCUUUAUAGGGCACCUACAAUGAUUGUGUCAUUAUGUUAAUAAACAUGGUCGAUUUAGUGAAAUGGGUUGUUUGCCAUUUUGUAAAUCACCCACCUUAAUUAUUGCUUGAGUAUUUGGCUGAACUGACUGAAUUUGGGGCAUCGUGUAUCCAAUAGAAGCUUGCAAACCUUUGUAGUGAUAAGAGAUCUAGGAUCAUCGUCCAGCAUUGCACAUGAUAUGCAAGGUGUAUAUUCAUCCCAGGGGUACGCAUUUAGGACUGUUAAGCUCCUUUGCAGUUCCUAUUGCAUAUAAGCAUAGUUUGUUUCUUAAACUGGACACAUGUCUUUUUUGCAGAACAUAAAAUGGGAGAUGGAGAUGUUUAACUUGCAUAGAAAUGAAACUAUAUUUUCAUUGACUAUGGUAACAAAUACCAUUUUCCAUAUUGUUUAAUUGCACAAAAUUUCACUCAAGUAUAUGAAUGUAUACUCAUCUAAAAUUACAAAUAUUGUCUUGUGUUUGUAGGAACUUUAGAGUUUCCUUUAAAAAAAAAGGACCCUGCACCCAAGGAAUGAAUGUUUAAGGAAUUCAACAAAUUUCCUAUAGAACAAUAUUGUUCACUUCCUCUCUAUUAUCUUAGUUUUACCUUCUUUAAGCAGGAAGCACUGAGAGGACUCUAGCUCACUCAAGCAGUAAUGUCUCAGACUGUGUGUAUUUGUUGGAGUUCUGUGUCUGAAAUUGCCUUUGGUAUUUCACCUCUCAGAAAAUGUGUAAUUGGAAAAUAAAUUUAGGUAUAUGAUGAAAUAAAAGUCCUUUUUUGUGUUC
rnacentral:lncRNA from 1 species